rnacentral:rRNA from 2 species
UACGGAGGAUGCAAGCGUUGUCCGGAAUCAUUGGGCGUAAAGGGUCCUGAGGUGGUUUGCUCAGUCCACUGUGAAAGUUCAGGGCUUACCCUUGAAAAUGCGGUGGAAACUAGUAGGCUAGAGUACGGUGGGGGCAGAGGGAAUUCCCGAUGUAGCGGUGAAAUGCAUAGAUAUCGGGAAGAACACCGAUGGCGAAGGCACUCUGCUGGGCCGACACUGACACUGAAAGACGAAAGCCAGGGGAGCGAAUGGG